UUUCUUUGCAUAAAUCUAUUAAGACCAGUCAUCAAUGGUGAUUUGUUAAUUGAAAUUUUAACUGGAAUGUCACACCUGAAAUAGGCAUGUCUGGGUUCUGGUUGUCACCAGAAAGCCCUGAGGAACUGGGACUGACUUGCGAAGCUAGUGAAAGCCCAGGAGAAAAGCCUGAUACCUCGGUUGGCUGUGCGGUUCGUGGCAGUCUUUCCAGGGAAGGGACGAAGGUUGCUUUCCUAAAAGAUGGCUAAAAAGGAAUCUGUAGACUCAAUGGAGGCCCAAGGA